AUGACGACCCCAAUGAUUUCUUUGACUACUAUCUCUGGUACCACUCCAGGGGUGGAGCAUCUUAUAAUUGUGUCGGCCAACAACUUUGUUUGUGAACCUUCCCAAUACCCUUCUCAUACUAAGAGGAAUUCAAGUGACUUUUCGUUUACUCCUGUUGAAGGAGAUGCUUCUCGUUGCCUAUACAAGGCUAGAUCUCUGGUUUCGAUGGUAGCGGACGACCAAUAUGAUGUAUUAGGUUCUGGAAACCUUGCUAGGUAG